AAAAAAUAAAAAAUAAAAAAAAAUGAGAUAAACCACAUAACUUCUCUUGAACACAUCCAAGAGCUAAGGUUUCAGGUCAGCCAAAUACUCUCAGGAGAGAUAGACCUUCCCAAGGAGACACAGGGAAGAGCCGUAGCUGACCUGUGGCAGAGCCUGGCAGGAGGAGACACCAAAUACCAUGUAUACCUGUAAGAAGAAUUCAGGUAGAUUUUUAAUAUUAACUGCUAAAGGCUUACCAUGAGGUAACAAGAAGUGUAGAAUCCCUGAAAGUGCAGACACAAUGGGAAUUUAUACCCACUAGCAGGCUCUUCUCAGAAUUCACCAGGUGCUCCAGAGAGACCAGAGGCAGAGAUGCAGGCUUGGAAAGGGAGCAGCCAUCACUACAAGAAAGACAUGGAGCUCUGCCCAGACCCUACUUCCUUAGAGUCAAAAGCCCUAGGGAGAAGGGCAGCACCCUUGCAGGGAACAGGCAAAGACCACAGAAGACCACGGUGAUUGAGAUAAAGGAAACCCCAAGAAUCAAGGAAUAGCAUCCUUCCAUGGUAGAAAGACCCUUCGAGGGCUCAGGACCACAGGGAAGUCUGCACAGACAGCAGCCAACGGCAGACGUCUGUCAGAUGUGGAAAGGGGACGUGACAGGACAGAACCACAUACCUGGAAGAAUGGAAUCCCA